GUUCUUGCUUCUGCAGCACAUAUACUAAAAUUGGAAUGAUAUAAAGAAGUCUAACAGGAUCCCUGCAUAGGCAUGACAUCCAAAUUUGUGAAGCUUUCCAUAUUUUU
ensembl:snRNA U6 U6 spliceosomal RNA